UACGAAGGGGGCGAGCGUUGUUCGGAAUUACUGGGCGUAAAGGGCGCGUAGGCGGCCCCUUUUGUCGCGUGUGAAAGCCCCGGGCUUAACCUGGGAAUGGCGGUUGAAACUAGUCGACUCGAAUCUGGCAGAGGGGGGUGGAAUUCCACGUGUAGCAGUGAAAUGCGUAGAGAUGUGGAGGAACACCGAUGGCGAAGGCAGCCCCCUGGGCUGAGAUUGACGCUCAGGCACGAAAGCGUGGGGAGCAAACAGG
rnacentral:rRNA from 1 species